rnacentral:rRNA from 1 species
GAUGAACGCUGGCGGCGUGCCUAAUACAUGCAAGUAGAACGCUGAAGGAGGAGCUUGUUCUUCUGGAUGAGUUGCGAACGGGUGAGUAACGCGUAGGUAACCUGCCUGGUAGCGGGGGAUAACUAUUGGAAACGAUAGCUAAUACCGCAUGACAACAGUUAUUGCAUGAUAACUGUUUAAAAGGGGCAACUGCUCCACUACCAGAUGGACCUGCGUUGUAUUAGCUAGUUGGUGAGGUAACGGCUCACCAAGGCGACGAUACAUAGCCGACCUGAGAGGGUGAUCGGCCACACUGGGACUGAGACACGGCCCAGACUCCUACGGGAGGCAGCAGUAGGGAAUCUUCGGCAAUGGACGGAAGUCUGACCGAGCAACGCCGCGUGAGUGAAGAAGGUUUUCGGAUCGUAAAGCUCUGUUGUAAGAGAAGAACGAGUGUGAGAGUGGAAAGUUCACACUGUGACGGUAUCUUACCAGAAAGGGACGGCUAACUACGUG